UCCGGCUUAUCACCGGCAGUCCCCUUAGAGUGCCCAACUUAAUGCUGGCAACUAAGGGCGAGGGUUGCGCUCGUUGCGGGACUUAACCCAACAUCUCACGACACGAGCUGACGACAGCCAUGCAGCACUUGUGUAAAGGUUCACUUUCGAGCACUCCCCAAUCUCUCGGGGAUUCCUUCCAUGUCAAGGGUAGGUAAGGUUUUUCGCGUUGCAUCGAAUUAAUCCACAUCAUCCACCGCUUGUGCGGGUCCCCGUCAAUUCCUUUGAGUUUUAAUCUUGCGACCGUACUCCCCAGGCGGAAUGCUUAAUGCGUUAGCUGCGACACUGACGAGCAUGCUCGCCAACGUCUAGCAUUCAUCGUUUACGGCGUGGACUAC
rnacentral:misc_RNA from 1 species